CAAGGAAGAAUCACCACAGGAUUGCUAAUCCUGCCACCCGAACUUAACCCCUCGGCUCCCUUG
rnacentral:tRNA from 1 species